UGCAUUGGGAGAGUUAAAGUAUUUGACAACAAAAGGGUGAUUAGAAGAAUUUCUGAUUGCAGUAAAUUAACUUGAAUAUGAAUGAACAGCAACUAAAGAUUGUUCGAAAAGUAUAUGUCAAGGUGCGUAUUCAUGUUCAAGCGUCGGUUGUGUCUUUGUAACCGUUGCAGCAGGUGCUUUAGUAUCUCCAACAGAAGCCAUUUGAAGAGUUUCUCCUGAAUCUGCAGCUCUUU
rnacentral:lncRNA from 1 species